UACGUAGGGGGCAAGCGUUGUCCGGAUUUAUUGGGCGUAAAGAGCGUGUAGGCGGCCUGACAGGUCUGCUGUGAAAACUCGAGGCUCAACCUCGAGAUGUCGGCGGAAACCGUCUGGCUAGAGUCCGGAAGAGGAGAGUGGAAUUCCUGGUGUAGCGGUGAAAUGCGCAGAUAUCAGGAAGAACACCUAUGGCGAAGGCAGCUCUCUGGACCAUAACUGACGCUGAUGCACGAAAGCUAGGGGAGCAAACAGG
rnacentral:rRNA from 1 species